rnacentral:rRNA from 1 species
AUGGGCCUACGGGGGGCAGCAGUGAGGAAUAUUGGUCAAUGGGCGGGAGCCUGAACCAGCCAAGUCGCGUGAGGGACGACGGCCCUCCGGGUUGUAAACUGCUUUCAGUUGGGAAUAAAAGGGGGCUCGUGAGCCCCGUAUUGUAUGUACCAUCAGAAAAAGGACCGGCUAAUUCCGUGCCAGCAGCCGCGGUAAUACGGAAGGUCCGGGCGUUAUCCGGCUUUAUUGGGUUUA